rnacentral:rRNA from 1 species
UACGUAGGGGGCUAGCGUUGUCCGGAAUCAUUGGGCGUAAAGCGCGCGUAGGCGGCCCUGUUAGUCCGCUGUAAAAGUCAAAGGCUCAACCUUUGAAUGCCGGUGGAUACUGCAGGGCUAGAGUCCGGAAGAGGCGAGUGGAAUUCCUGGUGUAGCGGUGGAAUGCGCAGAUAUCGGGAAGAACACCCGUGGCGAAGGCGGCUCUCUGGGACGGUACUGACGCUGAGACGCGAAAGCGUGGGGAGCGAACAGG